rnacentral:rRNA from 1 species
UGAAUACGAGAUGCUACGGCGUCGAAGCAGUCUAUGUCAUACUUCCAAGAAAAGCUUGCACUGUCAUAAACAAAUAAUGCCUGUACCAUAACCGACACAGGUGGGUAGGUAGAGUAUACUAAGGGGCGCGAGAUAACUCUCUCUAAGGAACUCGGCAAAAUGACUCCGUAACUUCGGGAGAAGGAGUGCCUUAUUUAUAAGGUUGCAAUAACAAGAUCCAAGCAACUGUUUACCAAAAACACAGGUCUCCGCUAAGUCGUAAGACGAUGUAUGGGGGCUGACGCCUGCCCAGUGCCAGAAGGUUAAAGAAGUUGGUUAGCAUCCGCGAAGCUGAUAACUGAAGCCCUGGUGAACGGUGGCCGUAACGAUAACGGUCCUAAGGUAGCGAAAUUCCUUGUCGGGUAAGUUCCGACCCGCACGAAAGGCGUAAUGAUUUGGAUACUGUCUCGGAGAGGGGCUCGGUGAAAUAGACUUGUCUGUGAAGAUGCGGACUACCUGCACCAGGACAGAAAGACCCUAUGAAGCUUUACUGUAACCUGAAAUUGAAAUUGGACUUUACUUGCGCAGUAUAGGUGGGAGGCGUUGAGAAUAUUCUUGCGGGAUUAUUGGAGCCAUCAGUGAGAUACCACUCUUGUAAUGUUAGAUUUCUAACUUUGUAUCAUUAUCUGGUCAAAGAACAGUUUCAGGCGGGCAGUUUGACUGGGGCGGUCGCCUCCUAAACGGUAACGGAGGCGCACAAAGGUUUCCUCUGAACGGGUAGAAAUCGUAUCUAGAGUGUAAAGGCAUAAGGAAGCUUGACUGUGAGACCUACAAGUCGAGCAGGGACGAAAGUCGGUCUUAGUGAUCUGACGGUGCUGAGUGGAAAGGCCGUCACUCAACGGAUAAAAGUUACUCUAGGAUAACAGGCUGAUCUCCCCCAAGAGUUCACAUCGACGGGGAGGUUUGGCACCUCGAUGUCGGCUCAUCGCAUCCUGGGGCGGUAGUACGUCCCAAGGGUUGGGCUGUUCGCCCAUGAAAGCGGUACGCGAGCUGGGUUCAGAACGUCGUGAGACAGUUCGGUCCAUAUCCGGUGUAGGCGUUAGAAUAUUGAGAGGAGCCUUCUUUAGUACGAGAGGACCGAGAAGGACAUACCUCUGGUGUACCAGUUAUCGUGCCAACGGUAAACGCUGGGUAGCUAUGUGUGGAGUGGAUAACCGCUGAAAGCAUCUAAGUGGGAAGCCCACCUCAAGAUAAGUAUUCUCAC